CCUUGCACGCACGCCCGUCGCUCCAUCGAAGUUGGUUCUUGGCGAGGUGGUGCCUCAUUGGCACUAUCGAACCUGGGGUCAGCAACGAGGGAG
rnacentral:rRNA from 1 species